ACAUGCAAGUCGAACGCGAAAGUGGAGCAAUCCAUGAGUAGAGUGGCAAACGGGUGAGUAACGCGUGGGUGACCUGCCUUCGAGUGGGGGAUAACGUUCCGAAAGGGACGCUAAUACCGCAUGACAUCCUGCCUUUGAAGAGGUGGAGAUCAAAGCUGGGGAUCGCAAGACCUAGCACUCGAUGAGGGGCCCGCGUCUGAUUAGCUAGUUGGUGGGGUAACGGCUCACCAAGGCAACGAUCAGUAUCCGGCCUGAGAGGGCGGACGGACACACUGGGACUGAGACACGGCCCAGACUCCUACGGGAGGCAGCAGUGGGGAAUUGUUCGCAAUGGGCGCAAGCCUGACGACGCAACGCCGCGUGGAGGAUGAAGAUCUUCGGGUCGUAAACUCCUUUCGAUCGAGACGAACAGUCUCCGGGUGAACAAUCCGGAGGUUUGACGGUACCGAGAGAAGAAGCCCCGGCUAACUCCGUGCCAGCAGCCGCGGUAAUACGGGGGGGGCAAGCGUUGUUCGGAAUUACUGGGCGUAAAGGGCUCGUAGGCGGCCAACUAAGUCAGACGUGAAAUCCCUCGGCUUAACCGGGGAACUGCGUCUGAUACUGGAUGGCUUGAGUUUGGGAGAGGGAUGCGGAAUUCCAGGUGUAGCGGUGAAAUGCGUAGAUAUCUGGAGGAACACCGGUGGCGAAGGCGGCAUCCUGGACCAACACUGACGCUGAGUGAGCGAAAGCCAGGGGAGCAAACGGGAUUAGAUACCCCGGUAGUCCUGGCCCUAAACGAUGAAUGCUUGGUGUGGCGGGUAUCGAUCCC
rnacentral:rRNA from 1 species